AACAGAAAUCGAAAUUGGAGAAUAUGUUGAAUCACAUUGCUGAUGGAAUUCAGUCUAAUGCGUCUGUAGAUCAAACUGAACUGUUUAUAUUUGUAUAUCGCCUCAUUAAGGAUGGCAUAGAUGAUGUAAAUCAUGAACGCAAACACGUAUAUAUGUCAGAGGCAGGGAAAGGAGACUGUGAUUUGGUGGAUAGUCAAAUGAUUAAUUCAGACAGGUUAAUAAAUCUUGAGCCCAGAUAUUCUCACUUAAUUACUGGUUUUGCACUUGGAUUAUUGCAAAAUCACAUUAAGGGCAUGAAACUGAACAGAAAAGACGAGGAGCAGCUGUCACUGUUAGACCCUUUGGUUCACUUGUUGGGUGAUUGCUUGAGUUCAAAAUACGAGAACAUUGUGACGACAGCACUCAGAUGCCUUUCUCCUCUGGUACGAUUACCUCUGCCCUCCCUUGAAUCCCAGUCUGACAAGAUAAAGAAUUCUUUAUUGUUUAUUGCUCAACAUUCAGCAAAUGCUGGCAGUCCUUUGGUGGAGUCUUGUUUGAGGCUGUUGACUGUGCUUCUUCAUAGCACUGGUGUUACACUUUCAGCAGAUCAGUUGCACAUGUUAAUUCAGUUUCCUUUAUUUGUUGACAUAGAAAGAAAUCCAUCUAUUGUGUCCCUUUCCCUUCUAAAAUCAAUAGUGAAUAGGAAGCUGGUAGUUCCUGAGAUAUAUGAUGUCGUCAAGAGGGUUGCAGAGCUGAUGAUAACCAGCCAAGUGGAAUCAAUACGUAAGAAAUGUAGUCAAAUUUUACUCCAAUUUUUGCUUGACUAUCAUCUGUCAGAGAAACGCUUGCAGCAGCAUCUUGAUUUCUUUCUUGCGAAUCUCAGGCAAGUUUAUUGAAUUCUUGUAGUGUUUGUGGCAGAGUCAUUUGUUGUUGGAGUUGUUACCCUGUUAUGACUUCUCAUACGGAUAUUUUGUGUUGGAUGCAGAUAUGAACAUUCUUCUGGAAGAGAAGCUGUACUUGAAAUGCUGCAUGCCAUUAUAAUGAAGUUUCCAGCAAGUAUUCUUGAUGAGCAGUCACAGACGAUAUUUGUGCAUCUGGUGGUUUGUUUGGCUAAUGACCAUGACAACAAAGUCCGUUCCAUGACUGGUGCUUCUAUAAAGCUGCUUAUUGGGCGUGUCAGUUCUCGCUCAGUUAAAUCCAUUAUUGAGUAUAGUGUCUCCUGGUAUGUGGGUGAAAAACAGCAUCUAUGGAGUACUGCAGCACAGGGAAAGUUGUGGACUCUGUUCUAUAGGUGAAGUUUUUUUUUUUUUUUGUGCUAUCAGGAAUUAUGAGUCUGUUUAAAGGAGAAAUGUCACUGAUGUGGAGAUGGGAUAAAGUUAUGAGAAUGAGAAAACCUCAGUGGAAAUAUAUGGAUACUUAGUUGAAAUACCUUUAGUUGGUUCCAUCUGCUGACUAGUGGCGGAGCCAGAAAAUUUUCAGUUGGGGCACAAUGAAAACAAAGCUCUGCAAAUAGUAUUGGGCAAUAAUAAAUACACAUAGUAAGAAAUAUGAAGUAGCGGCAUCCAUUAUUAUUAAAAAUGAUAAGGGGGUGUAAGGAACCUACUAAAGUAGAACACGAAUUUUUUCUGUAUUAAAAAAAAUCACCAGUAAGGAGUAAACUAAACUAUUAAUUUAUUGAGGUAGUAUUUGAAACAUCUUUAAAGCGAUGGAUUACGUGUGGUACUUGAUUCUUUUAUUAAAAAUGUUACCAGAUCAAAUAUAGGUACAUAUUUAUAUUAAUAUUUUUUAUCAAUAUCAAGGUAGAAAGAAAUUCUUUUACAACACAACAUUUGAAUUGUACAUUUUCUUUUUGUGAGUGGGGCAUAUUAACAAAUUAAUUGGGUAAAAAAAAGUUUCUUGAAAAUUCUAUGCAUAGAAAUGAAAAUUUAUGAGAUAUCUUAAAAAGCUCAGAUUUUAAGAGUAGAGUAUCCAAUAUGUCUCCCAUAUAGAUCUCUAAUCUAGCCGCUCUGAUACCAACUGUGACGCCCCUACUUCUCCCUAAGGCGAACCAAAGGGUAUCCGCGGGACGCCUGCCUAACUCUCGCCAGGACUCAAGCAAUUCCAUUUAAACUUAUUGCCGACGACACACCAUACGAGUCAAUAACUUAGAUACAAUAAAUGCGGAAGCGUUCAAGUUUAAUAAAAAUCAUCUAUCUGAUAUCCAACGCGCACAUCGGGUGUUCAACAACCAUCAUAUAUCCCAAAUAUAUAUCAUGCUCCAAAAGUUACAUUCGAAUUCCAAAAUACAACCCAAAAUUCAAGACAAAGUCAAAAGUAAUAGAAACCCUGAACAAAAGCGUAGCAAGAAGGUUUCUUCGAUACCUCGCCAAGUUCAAUCCUUUUAAGGAAAACAAAUCUACAGAGUGAGCAAAAACGCUCGUGAGGCCAAGAACACACAUACAAGCACAUUGCUCAAAUAACAAUCUCAAUUUACAAGUCAAACAAUCAUAUUUUAGUAAUUAACAAUUUACUGAAAUAUAACCAAAAACAAUUUAAGGAUACUGGAGCCCUCAGGAGCUAUAUUCCACUUGCACAUUCAAUAACCUCCACGAAUUGACACUCCGUCAAUCGGGUAGGUUUAGUCCGUAGAACUUCACUUAACCUGUCCCCUUUCACCUUAUAUACCCCUGUAUCGGGCCCGCCUGUCAUUUGUUUGUGGCGAUACUACUCGAGUAUGCCAAACAAGACCUCUCACUAGGUCAAAUUUAUAUAUCUCAUGGCUCACCAAGGUUCCCGACCAAGCCCAUGCCUGCUCGAGUUCAAGGUCGGUCAAUAAAAUUUGGGCGUCCCCAUGUGCACUUGUGUGUCGAGGAGAUUCACUCCAACGACGUAGGCAACUAUAGCAUACCAUUACAUUUCAUUCAUUCAUUCAAUACAUUUCAAUCAUUCAUUCAAUGCAUUUCAAUCAUUCAUUCAAUACAUUUCAACCAUUAAUAUUUCAUUUCUAAUGAGAACGAGUGUGGUAAAGUACACACUCGACUCCACUUUCAAGAUUUCCAAUCAUUAAUAACAAUUAAACAUGUAACAAGUUUACAUACACCUGACACUCAUCAAGUAUUAGGUGUAAGUAAGGUCAAGGAAAGUUCAAGCGUCCACCGUGGGAUCCUCUUGAAAGUUCCUCGUGUGCACCUGAGCAAAUAAUAAUGAAUUAUCAUUCAAAUCCCAAAUAUCGAGGAAUAAUUCGUUCACUAGUAUUAAUCUAGGGGAUUCCGUGAAAAUGAAUCUCAAUUACUCGUAAAUCGAGAUCGAGAGGGGUUUGAUAACAUUCAAAAGUAUUUAAGCUUUAUCUAGGAAAUCGGGGAUAAAAUGUUUAGAUAAUAUCAAAAGAAUAAAGAGUUCUUGAAAAACUCUAUUUCCUUGAAAGUUGAAAAAUUUCAGUUUUGUUAUGAAUUUUUGAAAAAUCGUAACUCACUCGGCAUAAGUCGAGAAUUGGAAAACUUUAUAUCGUUGGAAAUCUCUUAGAAAGUACUACAAGUUCUUAGAAGACGCUUUUCCAUGAAUCGAAAUGGAAAGUGCUCAAAAAUGAGCUUAAAGUUGCUGUUCCAAAUCACCCAAAAUUGAGCAGGGGUUGAUUUUUCGCUAACUUUGAAAAUUCGAGAAUUUACUCGUUGCAAACCAGUCCUUGAAAUUUAUAACUCAAUUAGAGGUGCAAGUAAGGUUUAGGACAGAACAAGCGGAUCGAGAAUCGGAGUUUCGAGUACUAAGAUAUGGUAGCUCAAAGUUGGGUAAAUUUCAAGACUGUUAACAAAAUUUCCAGAUUUGGUUCCGACUUUUGACCUUUAGUUAAGUGUUGAAAUGGACUUCGAUUGAUACCAAAUUUGCAGUAUAAUACUCCUAUAUGAAGGGUAUCUAUCUAUCAAAUUUCGUGGAAAAAUACCUUCGGAAAUGUGGUUAACCAAUCAAUCAAAGUUUGAAAUUACUAAGGCCAAACUGCCUUUAGCUCUCUUUCUCUUCGUUUCCAAACAUUCGGCUAAGGAAAACCUCCAACCAUGGUUCAUUUGUGCAAGAAAAGUCUAAGGAGUAUACAUGGUACAUUUGGUAGGUGUUUAGCACCAAAAAUUCAUUUGGUAAGGCCACAACAAAUCUCACAUCUAAUCUGUCCAAAUCUAAGGUUUUCAAGAACAAGGCAGUCACCGUAUUUUGAUCAUAACUCAUUCAAUUUAACUUGGAUUUGGGCAUGGUUGAUACUGUUAGAAAAUACAUUCAUAGGGCUAAAAUUUCACAGAAGAAAUCAUUUUAAGUUUCAGCAUGCAACUGGCUCGAAAUUAAGCCUAGAGUUGCAGCAUCAUCAAAUCAUUUCGGCAGAACGGAGAAACAGGGCAACUGAAUUCAGAAGAGUGGUGCGGUUCACACACACGGAACCAGAACAUGCAUUAUAUACUGUUGGAAAGAUGGGUAUGUCUAGUUUCAAAUGCCACUAACGACACUUGAUUUCGACGUCGGAGUACGGAGUUAUGGACGAAAUACGAACACUGGUUUGGUUACGACGGCAACCGUUUCCAGAUUACCAACUUUGGGAAAUAAAUUCUUUUGAUCAACCAAAACUCAACAUUUUUCAAUGAAAAUUUGUACACAACUUCUACAACAUGUAAACAACACAAUCAAGCCAUUAAAUCUUCAAAUUUCUGCAUUAAAGUGGCCGAACAAAGCAGGGACAAAAUGGUCAGAUUUGGCCUUUGCACCCAACGUGAGUUUCCAACAAUUUUCCUUCAACAAACCACUAACUUAAACACUAAUCCGACAUUAUAAAUAUCAUCAAGUACAAAAUCAGCAACAACCCAAGAGUGGGAAUUCAUAGAGUCCACUUUUCCAAUUUCUCCAACAUCAACCACAACCCAUAUGCAAAUUCAAGCUUAUAAGUGUAAUUUAACUUCCAUAGGACAAGUUUAAGGUAUUAGAUCAUUACCUACUUUGAUGGUUGGUCAAGACAGAAGUUUCAGCCCUUUGAAGCUUGAAGAAAACCGUGGAUAGCUCCUUCCUUUUGCAGCUAAAUGGACUUCCCAAGUGUUGAGGUAGAUGUAGUUGAAUUUUUAAGAGAGUUUGGUAGAUUGAGUAAGAUUUGUAGAAGGAAUGUUGAAAGUUUUUGGUUGUUUCUUUGCAGCUGCUAGCUGUCCAAGGAGCUUGAAGAAAGGAAAUAGUUUGCUGAUCCUUUGGCGUAUAAGGAACGCUACUCGUGUAAUAUUUUAAAUACGUAAAAAUCAAUUGCAACUAAUGCGCCUACGCGCGCAUUUGUGUUCGAUUUUUUUAAGUUUGUUGCACUAGUGCACUAAAUCUUUAGGGCACUUACAUUCAUAUAAAUAUUAUUCAUUCUUAAUUGUCCCAAAAUAAUUGUCCAAAGUCCCUCAAUUAAGCGCGCACGUGAAAACACGUAUUUCCAAUGUAGGCGCAAUAAAAUGAAACUUUCGAGAAAUUCUUAUAACAAUCGUACUACCAACUAUCACUUGAGUUUUUAAACCUAAAAUUGCCUAUUUUAGAAUCAUUGUAUAUAUCUCAAAAUUUUGAGCUUAUUGCACUUCCAAUUGGCUAAAGUGUUUAGACACGUUCACACUUUUUUUUUUCUAAUCAAGCUUUUAAGAAAAUAAAUUUUUUGAAAUGAGACACUUUAAAAAUAUAACGAAACUAUAAAACCAUGUACUUAGAUCUAAUAAGGUUAGAAAAUAUUAUUCGUGGCAAAAAUCCAAAUAAAUAAUUAAUUUAGCCAAAAUUAGGGAUUUUAAAAAUAAUAGAAUUUUCGAGUCCUCAUAAUUAGGAUACGGAUACGGAUCAUAAAAAUAAAAACCCGUGGGCACCCGAAUCGGGGGUAUAAUACAUAAAUAUUAAAAAUAUAAGGGUAAUUGUAUAAUAUUGUUAACUUAUUAAUCCUAACCUAAAAUGAAUCCAUCAGGCUACUUCAGAUUCAGCCGACAGUCUGUUCACUUUCUCCUUUUUCUCGACGACUCCUUUCUCCAUCUCUUCAAUUUUGUUGAAAUCAAAGAAAGUUGCAAAAGAUUCUCAAAACUCAAGGCUCAAGGCUCAAGCAGAAGAUUCAAUAGAGACCUUCGAUUUUGAUUUCUCAAGCCUCAAGCUUCGUGUAGAACGCCGACCUUCGCAGGUCUGUUUUUUUGUUUUUUUUAGAACGCCGACCUGCCUGAUGUCGAACUUUUCUGCUGUAAAUUUAACCUGCCUGAUGUAGUCAUUUAACAUUGAAAAGCGAUUUGGCUUGUACUUUCCUUUUAGUUUUCUGGUCUUUCAUUUCCCUUGUAUUAUAUUAGCCUAGAACAAGUCUGGUUCUAAAUGGGAAAUGAAGCAUUGAUAAAUCUUGGGUUAAAUUGACAUUCCAAAAGCUGUCAAUUUAGAUGCAACAGUUGAAUUAACACUCUCGAAAGUACCAUUUUUGUUUCUGUUUUUCAAAUGUUUAAACUUUUUAAGGAACAAAAGUGGCCGUAUCUUUUGAGUCCAACGGUUGAAUAUGUAUGUCUUGUUCCGUUGUUUGUAGGGGUGAGCAGAUUCGGUUCGUACCGAAUUCAUAACCGAUUUCAAAUUCAAUUCGGUAAUUUGAAAUCGGGUAUUUGGUAAUUUGGUUCCAAUUCGGUGCAUACCAAAUUCACCGAAUUCUAAUAUGGUAUAAAAUAGGUAAUGAGAUUAUGAAUUUGGUAAUAAUCGAUUUCGAAUUCAAAAUUUGGUAAUUGAAAUCGGGUACCGCAUUACCGCAUUCGAAUACCAAAUUAAUAUAUAAAAUUAUAUAAUAUAUAGAUAAAUGCUAUUUAGUAUUAGUAUAUACUACUAAUACUUUAUUAUAUUAUAUAAGUAAAUGUUAUUAAUAAUAAUUAGUAUAUGGUAUUAUCAUCAUAUCAUGUACUUAUAAUACUAAUAAUAUAUAAUGAUGUACAAUAUAUUUAUAUUAUUUUAGUAUUUAUUAAUUGUUAUACCAUUACAAUAAUGCAUAGUAAUACAUUACAAUAUAAGAUAACUAUAAUACUUAUUAUUUUAUACAUGAGUAACAUGACUAGAAUUAGAUAAUAAUUAAUACAUAUAUGUAUCAUACUAAAUAUUAAAUAAUAAACAUAAUUAGUAAUUAGAAUUUAGAUAUUGGUAAUUUGAUACAUCAUUCAUGUUUGAAUUAUUGAAUAUUUGAAUGCGUAAUCUAUAACUUGCAAGUAUUAGUGUACUCUAAAUUUACAUUACAUAUUCACUAAUCUUUAAGGUUUUAAAUAUAGAUAAGACAACUAAGUAGUGUAAGUGAAUGUAUAUGAAUUACAAAUCAAUGUAUUAGUGUAUUGACUUUCACAAUAACAUAUGUAAAUAAAUAAGUUUAAUUUUGAUUUGAAAUAAAUUGUAAGUUUGUAACUAACAUAACUUAUCACUAAUCAUUGUAAUUUGUAAGUUUGUAACUAAUAUUACUUAUUAUUAAUCAUUGUAAAUUAUAAAUUCAUAAAUUAUUACUAACCAUUGUACAGUCUAAGGUUUAUUCUAGUUUUAUUACUAACCAUUGUACAGUCUAAGGUUUAUUCUAGUUUAAAUUAAUCACUUUUUAUGUGUUCCUUAAAUCAUAAACUAAGGAUUGUAGGUAUAAGUGAUCAAAUAAGUUAAAAGUUUAUAUUAUUUAUUUACUAAUCUUAAGGCUUUAAGUAUAGACAAAAUAACUAAACAGUGUAAGUGAAUACAUGUGAGUUGCAAAUCAAGUAAAUAAGUUUUAUUUUGAUUUAAAAUAAGUUAUAAGUUUGUAACUAAUGUAAUUUAUCACUGGUCAUUGAUUCAUUGUAAUUUGUAAGUUUGUAACUAAUAUUACUUAUUAUUAAUCAUUGUAAAUUAUAAAUUCAUUGUAACUACUAACUAAAUUAAUUUAAAUUAAUCACUUUUUAUGUGUUUUUUAAAUCAUAUACCAAGGAUUUUAGGUAUAAGUGAUCAAAUAAAUGCCAAUUAAACCACAAAAUGAUUUGAACAUAAGUAAUGUGUUCAAUUAUGAAUAAAUUUGGGGAUCAAAUUAGUAAUAAUUUUUAAAUCAUUGAGGAGCAUAAUGAAUGUAUUAUAAUUUAGGAGCCCCAAUUUGUAAAUUAAAAAUUACAAAAUCACUUCAUUCGGAAAAAGUCGGAUUUCAUCUUCAGCUGAUGAAAAUUGAAAAGUGAGAAAACAACCAUUGCAAAUUUGCAAUAUUGCAUAGUGCCGUGACUGCCGUCACCUAGGGCUUUCACAGCACUAACACUCCCAAGUCCCAAGUCCCAAUUCCCAAAUCGAAGCUGCUCUCUGCCUCUCCGGCCUCCGCCAGUCCGCCGCGCUCUACGUCUCCUGUCGGCUGUGUCCUGCCGUGCUGGUUCAUCGCUGCCGAGUGUCGAAGACGAAGCACCAAGAUCUCACUAGUUCAUCGCUGGUUCAUCACUGCUCAUCUCUGGCUCACUUAGGUAAGUGCUCCUCUGUUUUUGGCUCUGUGUCUCUGGCAUUAAAAUGGGCCAAGAUCGACUAGGAAAUUUGUUAUCCUGAAUUGAUAAGGGGACGAAAUCUGAGCUUCCAAUUGCAAACUCUAACUGUUGUAGUAGUUUAGAUUAGGUGUGAUAUAACAUAAGCUUUGUAUUUUAUACACAAGAAGCUCUCUCCAGUUGUGCAGCCUUUAAAAGGUAAGGCCUUGGGGAAAAAUUCCACCUUUUACCCGUUAGAAAAAUUAAAAAGGAAAAAACUUGCUAAAAUGAAAAUUUUACCUCCUUUUCCGUGGAGAUUCUCAAUCUCUGGUGCACAUCUAGUGAAAGUACGGCUCCAGAAGUUGUACCUAGGAUUCUGGAUAUGAAUUUUCUGCAAUGUGAAAGAGAAACAUCUAAUGGCUUGCGGGGGUUGGUAGUUGCUGAACUAUAAAGAUUGGUUUAUAUAUUCUCUUAAUUUGCUUCAGGUUUUUUUUAAAUAAUAGAUGAAUUCGGUCUAACCGAAUUCAGACCGAAUUCAUUACCGUUUUCGAAUUUGAAAUCGGGUACCGCAUGAAUUCGGUAAUGCCCUGCAAUAACCGAAAAAACCGAAUUCAGCGCACCGAUUUACCGCAUUUGCACCGAAUGCUCACCCCGAGUUGUUUGUUGUCAUUCGUGUGUUAAAGAGGCUAAAAGGCUCUGGCAGUCCAGCAAUUCCAAUAUAUUGCCGUGCGAAAAUAGCAUUCUCUGCCUAAUGGAUACGGUCCAUAAAAGGUAGGAAAUGAAAGUUUAAACUCCACUUACCAUCCAUAGUUGUUGGUGAACUAUUAGAGCUAGUUAAUGAUCUGUGAUUAAUUGAUUAUUAAAUCAUGAAUGUCUUUGGCUGGACGUACGGCAGGUUCAUCUUAUGAAUUUGCAUUCAUACAGGAAUUUGCAUUCUUUAAAUAGGGGCGGGUACCCUAUGACCCGCCCCUAUUUUUCGGGUAUCUGAAGAUCAGGUACCAUACCCGAGGACAAGCGGAGCGGAUUAGGAUCAAAAAAAUAGUAACCCGACAUAUUAGGGUCGGGUCAGCCAUUUACCAUUAGGGGCGGAUACCCGACUCGUGCCCACCCCUACUUAUGUUAAUUUUGGUUUAGCAUUUAUAUCUUAUUCUGUGCAUAGGUGUGUGUGUGUCUAUAUAUAUAUAUAAUUAUUUAUUUAUUUAUUUAUUGAAUCGGGGUUGAACCGGUCCUACCGGUUGAACCUCGACUCUUUCACUUCACCGGUUCAAUUGUUAAACCCUCCCCCCUUCUCCCUCCCUUUUCCAGAGAUUGAGCUUGGGUAGAUGCACCAAUGGCGACGCCCGCGGACGCUCGAGCCGUAAAGUCUCUAAACACAGGCGAGGGAAGCAAGAAAUUUGUUGUAAGCUAUCUAUCUUUCUUAAUUUUUUGUAUGCAAAUAAAAAAUUGCAGUUCUUUUUAUUCAAAUUGUUCAUUUUUUUUCCUUAUUGGUUGAUGAGAGUAUUAUGGAAUUGUUUUUUUUUUUAAAUUCUGAAGUUUUUUUUUUGGGGUGGUGCAGUACAAGUCCAAUGUUCAACAAAUUGCAGAGAUUGAUAUUAAUGUAUACCGAAGUUUGGACCCUGUUAAAUCUGAGCCUUUUGAAGGGUCCACGUUUUUUCGCGAUUGCCUAGUUGAAUGGAGAGUAUGUUUCAAUAUUCUUCUAUUUCUGAAGUAAUUGUGAUUUGAAUUGUAGUUUUUUUUUUGGUGUAACUUGUGCAGCUAUUUCUCAAGGGUUCUUAUUGCGGAUAUCAGUACAUUUUUUGGCUGUUCUUUUACGAUAAAGAUUUCAUUUUUAGACGACAAGUAGGAAACAUUAAAGUAAUAUGAGACAUAUUUUAUUGGAUUUUGGAAUUUGAUGGUCUGCACAUCGGGAGAAACUGCUAAGCUUACAUGAAAAGUGGGUAGCAUUUCAAGAAAAGCUUUUUCAUCUGCUUUGUUCCGACUUAUUUGGUUUUAAACAUCAGUUAUAGGUGCCUGCUUAUGUUUUUAAAGGAUUCAGGAAGCCAUUUGUGCAAUAUAAGCAAUACAUGGAAUCUAGUUGUGGCUUUCUUUUUUUCUGCCAUAUAUCUUUCAAAAAGUUCAUUUUUUAUUCAGAAGCUAGAAAAUUAUUUUUAUUUUAAGUGUGUUAGUUUGGGAAUUUCAAUUGGUAAGGGGGAUUUUUCAGGGGGUUUUGCGGUGCUGGACAAUGUGCUUUGGAGAUGUUGAUUUUGCUGUGUAGAAUCUUGGUGGUUUUGAUGUAACAGUGACUAGAUGAGGAUGACGCUUCUGGCUUUGUGGACUAAUCUACUGGCAUAUACAGGCAGAUUAGUUUUAGUAGUUUUGGCACUGUCUUUAAUCUACAAAGUUAAUGUGAAAUAAAUGAAGGUGUGGUCCAUAUCUUGCUUGAGGUAGGAGGAGUAAAUCAAUGGCAUCCUUUUGACGUAGGAAGUGCUAUUACUUCUAAUGCACCAAAGAAUGUUUUCAAGGCAAAGGAGUUUGUGUUAGGAUAAGUAAUUUAUGAAGGUGACAUGAUCAGAAUCAUGUUUAGUGAGGGUUGUUUUGAAUAUUUUCUGGAAGUUCUUGUUUUCUUCCUUUGGUAUUUUUGCCUAGGCAGGAAGGUCUAAAGAAGAUUCUUGGCAUUGUUCCAUAUUGGUUUUCAGCCUCUAUGUUACUGUGCUGGAAACUAUCCACAAGGUUAUGGAUCUAAUGUAUGGCAUGGUUGGUCUGUCUGCUUCUGUCUGGGUGUACUUGUCAGGAAUUUAUUAUGUGUCUUGGAUAUUUCUAGAUUGCUGUUUGUUUUGUCCUUUCUAUCCAACUUCAUAUGAUUAUACCUUUUUGAGAGAGCAAAAAUUUGUACACUUCCAUCUCACAUUUAAAUUCUGCUGAUAUUGUUGUCUUUUUUUUUUUGACAAAUGCAGGAAUUAAAUACUGCUGAGGAUUUUAUUUCAUUUUAUCAAGAAAUGUUCCCCUUGGUACAAACCCUACCACAAAUUAUAUUGCAAAAGGAAUUGAUCGUUUCAAAACUGCUUUCUAGAUUACAAAUAAAAAGCAGGCUAUCACUGGAGCCAAUACUCAGGUAUUCUUGCAAAUUUGGUGUUUAUGUAUGUUUUUGAAGAAUUGUCUCAUCGAGAUUGGAAAAUGGUGGAAAGGAAAAACAAAUCAAUGCUCAAGGCCUUUUUCUUUUUUGGUUCUUUAAUAUUAUUAGCGUUUCCUGUUGUUUUAACUUGGAUCAUUGUAGGCAUAUGUUCUCGAUAUUGGAACUAAAAUUUUUCGAGUGAAGAUUUAUUCUGAAUAUAUACCUUUUAGAACUACACUAAUGUAGUUGUAGAGGCCUGAGUUAGUGAAAUGGGUUUAAUCACAUCCUGAAUCAUAUCUCGGAUGCAAAAGCAAGCACUUGUGGAUUUUCUAGUUUUCUAGUUUAUUUCAUUUCUUAUUUAAUUGCAACGUGUUCAACUCUCACCUCAGUAAACUGUAAAGGUGGAUGGCUGGUUUGCCAUGGAAGUUUUUGACAUAAAGUAUUGUUUAGUUACAGAUUGUCAUUCUCCUAAUUAAGUGUGUAUUGAUUCCCUUGCGGUUUAUUGUUAAACAUUGCUGGGUGCAUAUGUGGCUUUUCUGUUUCUGGCAGGUUGGUAGCCACAUUAUCAAGGGAUCUUCUGGAGGAUUUUUUGCCGUAAGUUCCAUAUAUGUUAUCUGAGGCUUUCAUGUUUUUUAAGUUUCUCUUUCCUGACAGUUUACUAUGCUUGUAGUGAGAUCCAUAUGUAUAUUUGUGGAGGUUUUCCUGUUGCCUUUCUUUCAGUAUUUGGGAUUUUCAGAAUCUGAGAAUGAGAGAUCAAUAAUUAUGGCUAGUGUCACUUCUCGCGUGACAUAGCCCAAAGCAAGAGAAAAGAAUAAGGAAAACAGAAUUUAGCAUAAUAUUUUAGUGCUAUGAGAAGGAAAUAUAUAAGAGUCACAUUUUGUAUUAAACAAGACUUAGUGAAACGCAUUGUACUUUAUAGAUUUCCAACUGUAUAGGGUUAGAUAAAGAAAAUUUUCCUCCCAAAAAUUGAAUCCAAUGGGUCCCUCAAUCAGUUCCAGGUCAGCUAAGAGAAGAACAUGAUGAGAAUCAAUCCCUGAAAAAAACUAAAAACCUACAUUGCUACAGUAAUGGCAGAUACAGAUUCAUCAACCUUAACUCAUAGAUACCAACUAAUUUUUCUUCUGCAUCACAUUACCGUCUUAUGUUCAUUUUUUUCAAGUGCUUGAGAAAUCUUUUGGCUUACACUCCUGUGUUGCAGUAUGUGCGUGAUGGAGUUCAUGAGCUCUGCAUGCAGAUUGCAAAAAUUGUAAUGAAUUUGCUGUUACCCAAGUUUUCCUCCGCUUAACAUUUAAGGCAAUUUUUGUUAGCAGUUAGAGUUUCCCAAUUAGCUCUCUUUUGCUCCUUUCUGGCAUUUUUUUUGGCACUGGGGUUCCUGGGGCCAUGUAGAAAUAUGGACAACUCAUGCUUGUACGUUUAUUAAUUUAACAAUUUUAACUUGUAUGCUGGCUCCUGUUGUGCAUGUUUGUCUUUGUUAGAAGUGCAUGAUAUUCAGUGACUGGACCAGUGGUAAUUCUUAAUUCCUACCCUUUCGCAGCAAUAUUGUCUUCUAAGUCACUCCUAAUGCGUCCUUUUUUUGUGGGUGUUUCCUUGACUGUGUCCCAGCUUUCUCCAGAGGAUUGUGAAUGCUAUAGUAUUUCUUCUGAAAAAUGGUGGUGAUAAGGAUCCAGACAUAAUUAAGCAGGUCAAGCCAAGUAUCUUGUUGUGUUAUUUUGUUUUGAAUUCUGAUGCAAUAUCUAAUUCGGAAUACUAGAUGCUGAAAUUGUGAAUUUGGCUUCCUCAGAUUUUUACGUCAUGGUCAUACAUUAUGAUGUUCCUGCAGAAAUAUCUGAUAAAGGAUGUCAUUCAUGUGCUAAAGUAAGUACAUAUGAUGGAAGUUGCUUUUAUCCAUGUUUAUAUGUGUGUGCAUGUAUGUUAAGUGUUUUAUUGGAUGUAAGGAGAAUAUGAAUGCCAAAUUUUGGUUUUAAAUUGCUUCUUAAACAACUUCGUUUGAUUUCUUGAGUAUUUCUCAACAAAGUAUAGAAAACUGAGGUUAAUUGUUCUUGUACUACCUAUUGCUGCCACAAAUCUAUAGAAAUCCACUUAUAUCUGAGAGAAUACAGUAAACUCAAACAUGGGUUGGAAGUAAAUCUAUGGAAAUCAAGAAGCUUGACUGGCUUUGUUGAUUUAUUGGUGCACAUUCAGUGUGUCUUCCCUGUUGUAUUUAUCAUGUAAAUGGUUUGAUUUGUAGAAAAAUUCCUCGAACUAUACUUUAAAUUCUAAUGUUUCUUCUCUCUCUCUCUCUCUCUCGCUUGCUCUAUCUGUCUGUGUAUAACAGAGUAACAGUGAAACUGAGAUACUAUCCACAUGGUAGCAUACAAAAAUUUGUGGCGGAGUCCGUCUCUUUCUUACUCAGGAAUGCACCUGUUGAGCAGCUUAUAAAAGGUAUUGUCUUUAAUUAUUAUGUUAAAAGAGUUAUCAGUUUUUUGACUUGGCCAGGUUCAGUAGUUUUGUAGAUAUACAAUUUAAAAGUGAAAAUCUAUAGUCUAACUGAUACAAAUAUUCUUGUUGGAAAUAUGCAUGUACUGGCUUGUGUUGUUCUGGAUGGAAACUUUGAGCUGCACUUUCCAGUUACAAAUCAAGCAAAUGCCAUGUUUCUGUACGUUUUCUACAUUGGAAAAGAAAGGUACUAGAGUGAUGUUUUAGGAAAGGUGAACGUGAUUUUAUAUGUCCCAGUAUAGUAGGUUUGACAAGGUUAUUGAAUGGGGAGGGUAUAAAUUUAUAAGAACAACUUCUUCUAAGAAUGUUAUUGUGGAACUAUCUUAAGUCUGAUCUGUUCUUUUUUUUUUUUUUGGGGUAUCUAGGGUGUAUUUUAUGAAAAGUCGACGCAGAACUGAAGUACAGGUUUAUGAAUGCAAAGGUCUUAGUGGUCAUAUAGCCAAGUGAUUAUGCACAAAAAUGUCAAUAUACCUGAAUGGCUAGUCUUUUUCUGCAAAUUACUUAUUGUGCUUCAUUCUGUUGAACUUUUGCCUUUGGGCUUACUUAAAUAGAGGAACUUGGAAUUCUCUCCUUUUUUUUAACAAAUAUGUUCCAUUGGGAAUAAGAAUGCUCUUUGCUUGAUGUGACAUCUGUUACAUUCCUUGCUUGCACGAGUAAUAGCUGAUUUUUUCCACAAGUAAUAGUCUUAUGCUUGUUUACUAAGCAUUUCUCCUGUCUAAAUAUGACGACGAUAAAUUUAUGAUUGUCGCAUACUAGAGAUUUGGAUAAGACAAACUAAAUGAAAAAUAGUUUAAAGAAUGUUGUUAUUGAGUUUUGUAUAUGACAAGGAUUAUGCUUUCAGUGUUUUUAAGGGGAUGCAUUUUUCAUGAAAUACUGGUCUUUAUAGACAUUUUUCCUUGACUUUUUUUUUGUUUCCUAAUGGAUGAAAACUACUGAGGCCAUAUGAUUUGGAUGCGUUACAAAUAUCAAAGUGCAAGAGUAUGAAAUUUUGGGAUGAUGAUUUUCGGAUGGUUAAAAACCGUUGGGAAAAAUUACUCCUUUACUAUGAGGUUGUGAACAAGCUUUUUGAUAUAAAGGUUUUAGGCUUUUCUUAGAGAAGAACCUGGAGAUUUUCUUUGUAACGUGUGUACAUGCUUAUAGACACCCUGCACAUUGAGUCCCUACCUGUCAUGAGCUUCCAUCAAAGUGUUUUGGGGAACUUGUUUAGAGCAUAUGCAGAUAUUUGUUGUGUACUAGUACUAUGAAUAGGAUUAAAUCACCCAAUCAGAAGCUGGAGUUCCUUCUUCAAAUACUUUGACAUGGCAUUUAGCUCUUGCUUAUUUAGGUCAGCCAUACUGGGUAGAAGGGGAUCUUUUUCAGAAUGCUUUGACAGAACUCGACUUGAGCCAAAUUUCACAAGAGGGAAAAGAAAAGAAAAAUAGAUACUGCAAAUCUGAAGUUUCUUACUGCUCCUACUUUUAUGAGGCUCAGUUUUUUAGGGUUGUAGUGCUUCAUCAUGGACCUUGUUGCACUGGAAGAUGCCUUCACAAGAAUUGGACAUCAUAUCGGGUAUAAGUAAAGGCUUUCCUCCUCUAUUUUCCCUGGUGGCAAGUGCUAUUCCUUUCUUCUGGAAGACACUGCUCUUUCCUUCACCUUUUUUUCUCUUCUGAUUCUCCUUCUAUACCUUGAUAUUUCACAACUACUGCACCGGUCCUCUGCUCAUCAUGCUCCACAUGCUGUCGUUUCUUCUCCGUUUUGCAUUUCCAACCCCCCCCCUCCAGCCCCAAAAAAAAAAAGGAAAAAAAUAAAUUUGAUUUACUUUGCUUCCCAUAUUGCCUGUGAUGCUUUUUUGGAACUCUGGUUGCUCAAUUAUCAUAUUCUUAACAAUAUUGAUCUUGUUUUCUCGUUCUUUGUAGGGAUGAAAAGCUUUGAUUUGUCUGUGAUGUAGAGAUUGCACUAACUUCUUAUUUCAUAAAUCAUUUGUGGCAGAAAACUACAGUUUCUUAAUGUCAUAUGCUUCCUUGCAUCAUUUAAAACUUUAGUUCCAAGGUAGACCUCAAGCUGUCCAAACAGGCCUACCAAUUUGGAUGUUAUGGUUUUGAGAAAGGAGUGACGGCAUUUGUAGGGUGAAUUGCCUGUUUUGUUGUCCUGGGGGCCAGUUUGCUUUCCAUCUCUUGGUUAGCACUUGCAAGUUUUGACAUAUAUCAGUGGAAUAGUAUUUCUCAUCUCAACAUAUGUGCCCUUCUCCUUUGUUGACUGGACUUCUGAUGAGAAAUCAAUUUCAGAAGUGGCAUAUUCAUGUCUCUAUACUUAAUGGUUCUACUUACCUAGUUGUUGAGAGCCAAACUAAUAUGAUGUUGUUACGUAUGAGUGUCUUCUGUUGGUUUUUACUCUCCAUUUACAAUAGAAAAAUAGGUUAACUUCUUAAGCUCAGCAGGUGUUAGGAAAAUCAUGAUUGAGGUCGUAAAGAAUCCAUUGGCUGAGAGGAAAAGUGGUGCUACUGAAUUAUUGUGGCAUGUGAUAAGAGGUUCGUCAUCAACAUUGCAUUCAAGGGCCCACAAGUGUUGCAGCUUCUAUUGGACAAGUCCUUAUUCAGCAUCGGUGAUCAACUCUUGGAAGGUGACAUUUUCAGCCUUCGCAUGUUAUUCAUAUUUUUCAGUAAUGUAUUGUCACUUCAUAUGCUUGAAUCCUGCUUCCUUUGGAGCUAUUCGAUACUAUUCUGAAUAUGCUUUCUAUAUAUUGUGUUCUAUGCUAAUGCAUCUCUUAGUAUGGAUAUUGGUACUGAUAGAAAUAAUACUAGUGCAUAUGAUAUAGUGCACUUAAAGAGUCAUUUUUGUUUAGGAUUCCUAGAUCACUAUAAGCAACUCAUUAUUGUCUAAUUUACCUGCAUCUAGAAUUGCGUGCAUUUUUUUUAUUAGUUGUUUGAUUUAAUAUUCCAAUAGUCUUUCAUGAACUUUUGAAAUGUGAUGUUAUUGCUUCAGAAAUGCUGUUUAGUUACUCCAAUAGAUUGAUACUUAUGUACCCAUUUUACUUGAAAGGAACAGUUUCCAAUUACUUUUACACCUGUAUAUUAAAUGCCUUUAGAUAAUCCUGAUUGAAAGUGAAGAUCCUUCUAGACUGCAAAAGAUAGGAAGCUGUCCCCCUCAAAGGGGAAAAUAUUAAAAGGUGAAGCGGAAUCUAUUGGUUGUAAAAAUGAUACAGUAGAAUGGCUUUAUGAAUUCUUGGCUGAAAGGUGUCGUCAACUGUUCUCUGUGAAGACUCGAGUGAAUAUUUGUGUGUUAAAGAUGGUUUAGUCUUGCUCAGGAGGGCGUCCAAUAAGUUUGCUCCUGUCAUAUCUAAGAUUGUGGCAGUGUGAAGAGCACUGAAUAAUAAAACUAUGGAGAUUGAUUACUUUUUCUUUAUGUGGAUAGGAUAUUCUGUUAUCAGUGUGGGCAUCAUCGUGAAGUGUUAUAUGCUGUUUCAUAUAUUCAUGUUAUAUGAGAUUUUUUACUAUUUGUUUAGGUUAUAUGCUCAUGUUCUGUAGUUUCAAUUUUCUUGUCCCCCAAGUUCUUGUGUCGGUUUACCUUCUCAUGAAAAAAGGAAGUUCGGUUAUUUCCAGACUUUUAUUUAUUGAAUCAUUUGUUUAUUUAUUUUUAGUUCUUCUCGAAUUUAGAUGCAUGACCUUGUUCUCAGAGCACAACUUAAUUGUGUGAAGUCAAAUGGUGUAGCUAUGCAACUCCUUUACUUGAGGUCAUUACUGCAGUUCACAUGAGUGAUCAAUUUUCUUUGAUAUUUCUAUUAACUGAUGGACUUAAAUCGUUUGAAAACCAAUCUAUUUGGCAAAGUGUUACCUGAGAUCAUGCUGAUGUCAUGUUCAUUAUCAAUUUUGGUGUCAAGAAUUUGAACCCUGAUUUGCUAUGAUUCAUGUUGGGUUAACAUUUUGAUUGGGUAUGAGUGUAAUCCCGAUGUUCUUUUCAACCAGGCAAUCUAAUAAUGUGACACUACAGUGCAUCCUUGGUAUCAGGUUGUCUUAUGAUUCAAAUAAAUGUUAUGUGACUCGUAGUUUUCUGCAUUUCAUGUUUUUUAACUGAUCCAUCUCUCAAAGUUUGUUAGGUUCCUGAAAUUCAUCUAGAUCAAGUGAUUUUACAAUUUAUUUUCCUUUUUACUUGACUUCCAGUUAUUGUUAUUUAUGUCUCGUAUCCUUUCUUGAUAUUUACAUUUUGCAGAUCCAGACUGCCUUCUUGAAAUUGUCAUAUCGACUUUCCAGAGAUUGAGCAAUGAGGCAGGGCCUGUGGAAUUAAAUUUGAUUUGGGAUUGCUUAUAUGGUGAAAUAAUUGAAUCAGUAACCAAUGGUCACUCAAUGCACGUCAGUCGACUUCUCUCCGUACUCGUAUUAAUUGUGGAGAAUGGUUUAUGAAGAAAAUUUCCGGUGCAGUACAAUUUGCUUUAUGGUUUUUCUUGUUCUGUUCUACUGCUUCUUUGCGGUGCUUACUCUUUUCUCUGAGGCUACUCCAUUUUAUCGUGCAGAUUACCAGCCUAUGUUUAAGCUAGUCAGGUUGCUAGUGCAGACAUAUGUUCCUCCUGUUACUGAGGAGGGUGGAAAACAAGCUACAGACAUCGUCAUUAAAAUCUUGCAGCUGUCAUUGUUCAUUGUUGAUGGCCCCACAAAGCUAAUGACCUGUCAGCUCUCUCUGAUUUUUCAUGUCAGUUGGUUCCCAUAUUUAGUUUGAAGAAUCCUGGGUAAUCCUUUUAAUAUUAUCAGAUUAGUACUUCUAGUGCUAUUUAUUUCAUCUAAAGAGCUCUCUGUCUGACAAUCCUGACUUGGUUACAGUUUGCUGACUUUUCUUAAAGACCUUGUGUCAAGGGACUCCAAUGUUCUCAAAAUAUUCAGGAUUAAUAUUAUAAGGUAUUACUCAUGCAUCUUCUGAAUAAUUUAGUGAAUCUUGUAUUUUGUGUUCUUGCUUAUUCAUAGACUUGAGUUAAUGAUGAUUGAGAAGCUUAUAUUUAGUUGAUUCUGACAUGGUGCAACUGGAUUUCAGUGCAUUGAAUGAUUUAACCAACAUUUCAGAAGAAGAAACUGUAUAUUUGCUGCUAAGAUUGUGUGAGAAUCUUAAAAUGCCAAGCUUCUCGUUCUUAGAUGGUAUCUCAAAAGACAAGCUUUCAAGAAUUUAUGAUUUGGUUCAGCAAAGCAUCAGUUACUGGAUAGGAAUGAUCAGUAAUUCGUUACAUGGAGAUUUAUCUUCUCUUCAGUUGGAACAGAGCAGGCUGGCUCUCCUGUGGGGGACUGUCAAAUGCUAUCCCUAUUUGUUCAAUGGCCAGGAGAAUCUGACAUUACUGUUGGACCUUGUAAAUGCUAUCGAUGAGCUUCUGAUGACUGAAUCUGGUAAAUUUUCUUCUAUUGUUCAUUUCCAUUUAUUCAACGCCAAUGAGAGAUUCAAUGGUGCAUGACAUCACUUUAAUUCUUGUGCAUUUUCAGUGUAAAACAAUCUUUGUACAAGCACAUUUAGACUUAUGCCAUGCCACAUGUUUUAAGAUCAGAUAUAUAUAUGUCAAACUUCUAAACCUACUCAUGUAGGUAUUUUUGUGCAGGAAAUGUAUACAAAUAAUACCGUGGAUUUAGUCCUUAAGAGAUGGUUCUGUUUUAAAUAAUAGACCUCUAUCGGUUUUAUCCUAAUUAUGUUGUGCCACAUGAUUAAUCACAGGAAGAAUAAAAUUAUUGGUAACUUAAUUACCUGGGAUGUGUUAGGAAAUGGAAUCUCUUUCUAUUCUAUAGAGUUGGAAGAAUUAGGUCUGCUAUCAAUGAUAUUUUGAAAAUUUUCACUUGACAGGAUUGGCAGAUCUUACUUGGCAGAGCCUAAUUGGUGCUGCUUUGGGUUCUUAUAAAGAAAUGCUCUCCAGCAGUGGAACUGGAUGUGAAGAGUCUGCAAUAAGCAAAUUCCUGUAUCUGGCAAAAAAAUACCACUCAUCUUCUCAAAUAUUAGCCCCCAUAGCUGAUAUUUUGGAUUCACAUUUUGGGUAAGCCUAAGUGUACUUUGAAUAUUUAUUUCUCCAUACACCCGCUUUUGUUUCAUCCUACCAGUUAGCAGUGGCAUAAAUUAGCUGAUUCUAAUUUUUUUUUAAUCCUCUAAAGGCUACUUUUGUGGUCUUGUUUGCUUUUGACUUCUGCUUUUGGCUUAUUUUGGAGGUAAAAGUUGUUUUGCAAAGCAUCACAGGAGGUGCUACUGGAAGGAACUAUUUCCUUUGAAGACCUUACUACCAUAAUUCCACUUUUAGACUUAAUGAGUUUUGGGCAGCACUUUGCCUAAAGCAACUUUAAGGAUAUGAAGAAAAGAAGAAUAGGCCCAUAAUCUCUAAUACCUUGCUAUUUCUCUUUUGGAUUUAUAAAGUCUUCAGCUUUUCUUAACUUUGUUUAAUUUGCAAUGAAGAUCUGUGAUUAAAGGGUGCACCAGCUUUAGAAGAUAUCACCCAGAUCUUGCAGCCAGGAAUGUAAUCGAUGCAUUAGACAUAUUGGCUGAAAAUCUGUGCAACUGUGAUCAAAUGCUUCGACGGUCGACCCUCAGAAUUUUGUGCCACUAUGAACCUUUGAAGUUUGAAUCUUCUUUUAACACACAGCCAGAUGAGAAAACUGCUGGAAAUGAUAUUAUGCAGACCUUUAAUGUUGAUGUUCGUGGUGAUAAUGUAUGAGCAGUUUUUCUGUUACUUCCUUUCUUAAUGUUGUCAGUAGGUUGACCCUAUGAUUACUUUGUGUGUCAGGUUCUAGAGCUUCUCCUUUCAGUUGAAACUACUGAGCCUUCAUCUACUGAUAGAAAAAUUGAGCUUCUAUUAUCCCGGAUCCAGGUGAAUGUAUCUGCCCGGAGGAUAGAUGAGAAUUAUGUGCCAGCCCUGUUAUAUGGCUUGAUUGGCAUCUUCCACAUUCGGCUUAGCAACUUAUGGAUUCCAGCUAAGGAGUGUCUUGCUGUUCUAAUAAGCCAAAACUUUGGAAUUGUAUGGGAACCGUACAUGAAAUAUCUGGACCACUGUCAGUCAUUGUUUCUGAUAUCUUGUGAUCAAUCUAGCAGAAGUGGUACCAAAUCACUUAAUCAGUCAAGUGGUAUGCGACAGACAAUAUACUUACUCUAGGAGCUAAUGUUAUGCUAUGAUCUUUGCUAGGAGCAAUCCUUGUUUCCUUUUCAUUUUAAUAUGGAAAUUUAAAUUUUUGAAGAUGAUGGCUUACUGGUGAUUGUUACUUACAACAGAACAUGUUUGUUUUGAGAUUUUGUUGUCUUGAUCUGAGAUGUUCCUCUUUUCCUGCUUCCCAUUUGUGGCUGUAAAUUAUAGGCGUUGUUCAUUAGCCUUGUAUUUCUCUCAGAUUUGGUUGGAUACUUCAAUUUGUCUAUCAAUCCCCCAUGUGGUAGUACGCCGUGCGCUACACUUUUCUCAUUAAUGAUUCAAUCGCUGCAAAAAGUUCCAUUUCUAGCUGAAACUCGGUCACGACAAUUAAUGCCUUUUUCUUGAAGUUUCUGGAUAUAGUGUUGAUGAUCUUUUGAGGUAACCAUUUAUUGGGCUUUAUGCAAGACUACUUGAGAUAUACUCAUUUCCUGUUCUCUUCCAGAUUGCUUUUUUAAGCUUUUGUUUGAUUCGUUGGUUUGAUGAUGCAGUGUUGAGUUAUACAAUGUACAUUGUUGCAAGGGCAGAGAGUGGAAGGAGGCCCUUAAAGAGUUGUUAAACUUGUUUAGGUUGCUGCGGAAUCCAAAGUCUUUUUAUCAGAGCCAAUUCAUCAAGGAUGUUUUUCUAUAUAGGUUUACACCUAUUCAAAAUUUCUUUUAGAGCUUGCUGGAUUUGUAUUGUUUACUUUAUAUAUUUUUUCACACUCAUGCUGUUUUUAUUGGGAUUUUCUAGGCUUCUGGAUGAAACAGAUACUGAGUUACAGUUAAAGGUUCUUGAUUGCCUUUUAAACUGGAAGGAUGAAUUCUUACUUCCUUACAGUCAGCAUCUGAAAGAUCUGAUCAAUGCAAAGAAUUUGAGAGAGGAGCUAACGACGUGGAGCUUGUCCAGGGAAUCUAAUGAAAUCGAUGAACAUCAUAGGGAUUUCAUUGUGCCUAUUGUCAUUCGGAUAUUGGUACCAAAAGUCAAGAAACUAAAAACUCUUGCUUCUCGAAAGGUAUUCUUGUUUGUUCUGGAAUGCUUAUUUUUUUUUUUUAACUGUUGUUACAUAUGUCAUUUGGUUUAAUGAUUUUUGUACUAUUUUUAACCCAGCAUGCAAGUGUACAUCAGAGAAGGGCAAUACUUGGAUUCUUAGCUGAGCUUGACAUUCAAGAGCUUCCUCUAUUUUUUUUCUUGUUGAUAAAGCCUCUUCAAGGUACUUCAGUAACAGCUGAUGUGAGCAGACAGUGUCUUUUGAGUUCAUCAGAGAGCGUUAAGGAUGAAUUUGAUUCAAUUAGCAUCUUGAAGCAAUUUACUGUGGAUGGCUUAAAGGGGCUUUCUUGGAAGAAGAAAUUUGGUUUCUUGCAUGUCAUUGAAGAGAUUUUAGCUGUUUUUGAUGAAUACCAUAUAAAUCCUUUUCUUAAUCUACUAAUGGGCUGUGUUGUACGGGUACUCGAAAGCUGCACGGCUGCUUUAGAGAGCUCAAAAUGCAAAGAACCGUCUCUAACUGAUUCUGGCUUCAAUGUGGCAGCAGCUUAUGAUAUUGUUGACAGGGAAAUAGAUAUUGUGGUAAGCUUGAAACUGUGCUUAACUAGUUCAGUUAGUAUGUUUAUUAAGAACUUUUUCCUUUGUACUUUAAUGCCUUAUUUGAACCUAAUUUAAAAACUUUUUCCUUUGUAUUUUAAUGCAGUAUUUGAACCUAAUAUUGGAAAAAUGAAUUUGAAAUUGGUUACUAAUCUCUACCUCUGAACCAGUGGUGCAUAUAUGGGAGUUUUAGCAGGAUUAUUGUUAAUUGCAUUGCCAUCUAUAGUUUUCCAUUCAGGAACAAGAAAUGCUUCAGCUCAAUUUGUAAUUAUUUGUUAACUAUAUCUUUGUCCCCUAGCUGGGUUUGAGUAGAUUAAUCGUUGGAGAAUUAUGAAGGUAAUCCGUGAGAGUCGUUCUCACCUGUAAUCUUGGUUUGCAGACUAGCACAGCUGUGAAGCAAUUCAAGGAAUUGAGAUCUUUAUGCCUGAAGAUUGUUUCUUCUGCUCUUGCUAAGUAUGAGAAUCAUGAUUUUCAUUCCGAGUUUUGGGACCUUUUCUUUACAGCAGCGAGUCCUUUAAUAGGCAGUUUUAAGCAAGAAGGUGCGAGUAGUGAGAAGCCAAGUUCACUAUUCUCUUGCUUCCUUGCUAUCAGUAGAAGCAUCAAGUUUGUGCCACUGUUGGGUAGAAAGAAGAAUCUUGUUCCCGAUAUAUUUUCGAUGUUUACCAUCACGACCGCAUCUGAUGCGAUCAUAUCUUGUGUUUUUAAGUUCGUUGAAAACUUACUAAAUCUUGACAGUCAGCUGGGGACUGAGGAUGGUUCUGUCAAAAGAGUGUUGCUUCCUCACCUCAACGUACUUGUAGAUAGUCUACACUGUCUGUUCACUAUUGAUAGUGGAACAAAGAGGUACUACAGUUUGCCUAAUCCAUUUAUUAUUUGGGCAGGUAUUAUUAGUUGAUUCAUAAACCUGUGCUCUGAUUUGAUUUGCUUUUAGCUUCUAGGGAAAGGUCUCAGGUUUUUCAUGUUUAAGUGUCUUUUAGCAUGAUAGUUCUUUCUGUUUUCUUAUUACCUCUAUUUUGGUCGUAUUAAUGAACAAAUAGCUCUCUGUUAGUUGACAAAUAGCUGCUACCUAUCUUAAUGAUGCAUGCUAUGCAUUUUUGGACACCGGAUUUUGUUGUAACUACUGAUUUGAUAAAGAGCAUGAAUUUCUAUGCAAUGCUUGAAAAAGGUUUUAUUUGGUGCUCUAAGCACCUAAUCUAGUUGCCACUGAUACAUUUGUCACUGAGUAGGAAAAGAACACAAGAAAAUGUAUUUACACCGUAAAGUGGAAGAAGCUAAAGAAAUAACUUCUGUAGGGUAAUGUACUACUGCAGCUCGGGUGAUGAGCACUGAAACAUCAAUAGGAGAACCCUUGCUUCUAUGGUUAAAUAAAUUGAUGGUUAACCAGACACAAUUAAGUUGUAUAGAUUGCUUAGAUUUGCAUGUUAAACAGAUGAAACAAGUUCUAAUAUUUGAUAGAUCACUUUUUCUUUUGCCUAAUCAUGGGGUGGAUGCCGUUUGUUAUGUGGUCAGGCAUCCUGCAGAUAACGAGCUCUUUGUGUUCAAAUUAUUGUCGAAGUACAUAACGGAGCCUUUAACAGCCAAGAAAUUUGUUGAUAUCUUGCUUCCACUUCUCGCAAAGAGACUCCGAAACUCUGGUUGAAGAUUGCUUCUAACUUUUGCUUAUAAUUGCUUGAUGUAUUUUUGUUUCCUUACAACUUCCUAUUCUGACUACCAAUUUUUUCUUUAAAUUUCUCCUUGGCAGAUUCUUGUGUUGUCAUUUUACAGAUACUUCAAUCUGUGGUUGAAGUUGUGGGAAGUGAAAAUAAUUCUAAAAUUUUGAGUUCAGUAUCUCCCUUGCUUACAUUUGCUGGGCUGGAUGUCAGGAAGUCCAUUUGUGAUGUUCUUAAUGCUCUUGCUAAAGAUGAUUCUUCUGUCUUUGUCGUGGUAAUAUUUAUUUUUCUUUCUGGUUCAGUUACAAGGUUAUCAUUGUCUUUAGUAAACCCCAGUUUCUUGUGUCUAGGCAAAGCUUCUGAAUGAAAUGAAUGCAACCUCCACAAUGGAUAUUGGGUCCCUUGAUUAUGACACUAAAUUGGUGCAUAUGAAAAGAUCAACAGGGAGUUUUUCCACACGGUGGGGAAAGAGCAUGCACUGAUCAUUUUGUCUCAGUCUGCAUAUGACAUGUCAUCUGAAGAGUUGAUCUUCCGGCAGAGUGCAUAUAGAUUGUUGCUCUGCUUUGUUGAAUUUGCCUCUGAAAUUGUUGAGUCAAAGGAUAAAUCUGAUCAAGGGUGCUGGACUGAAGCUCUUAUUCAACAUAUUGUAACUAGCUUUCUUUUGAAGCAUAUGGGAAAUGCAAUGAAUAGGGAAACUUCUGUUCAAAAGGUAUAAAGCUUUAAGUCAAAAGUUAAUUGUUUUUGGGGGUGCUUGUCUCUGUCUCUUUUCUUAAUAAGAUGGAAGUAUUUGUUUAAAAUAUUUGUGGGUUUGGUUUCAGCUUUGGAUUGAUUUACUGCGAGAAAUGGUGUUGAAGCUUCCAAAGGUUGCAAACCUCGAAUCUUAUGGAACUUUGUACAGUCAAGAUCCAGAGCAGGAUUUCUUCAAUAAUGUUAUUCAUUUGCAGGUAAUUCAUGAGUUUGUUUUAACUGGGAAAUAUAUGCACGUCAGAGUUUGUUCUUGGUGUUGGGUUCUUGCGUCUUUCCUUUUCUGUUAUGAAAAUGAAUAGCUUUCCUUUGAUAGUAUGGCUAAAUUUCUUGUGUAUUACAUAUAUAUUUGAGUAAGAAUGUUGCAAAAACAGGGUGUCAAAUUUAAACGCACUUCUUAGGAGAAAAAUACAUGUUGCUAGUGCUGUUCCCCCCGCCCCCCUCCUUUUUUUUUUUGUGAAAGUUUAUGAGCAUAGGAAGAUACACAAGAUGAACACCAUAGAGGGGGUUCUAAGCUGUUAUUCUCUAUGCAUUCACUUCAACUGUUCUACCAUGUUCUUCCCUUCCUUAGUGUCUAAAGUAUAAAUAACUGAUUGAUGUCCUGUAUACUGUGUCUCUUCUAUCUUUUCUCAUCAUAUAUAUGGUUAUAGCGGUUAUCUUUGGCUUAGGAGACAAUACCAGAUUGGAAAUUGAAAAGCAUUUAAGAAGUAAACCUAAAAUGAGAGAAGUUUUGAAUAUAAGUGAUCUAACAUAGAUGCAACUUGAAUAUGUCUUUUGUUUAUGGCAGAGCAAUUAGAUUUUUCCACAACUUCGUACAAGUUAAAAUCAUUUAUUGCAUUGUAGAUUUGAAUUAUUGUUCCAAUGCUUACGAUUAAAAAACAUCGCCUAGCUAUAGCACGUUAGCAAUGGCGAGGGAUGAUACCUAUUCAUUGCACCAAGGGUGCUGUUUAUGGCUGUAAACUGGUAGGAUCUGAAGUCACAGUUCGAAUAUUGCUGCCCUGUUCGGAUCACCCACUGGGCAGAUUUUUGAAUUGUCAGUGAAUAGACCCUUAAUUGGGACAUCCUCCCCUGGAUUCUGAAUUGGAUGGUGGAACAGUAGUGACUCCACAUCUGGGUCUAUGCUACCUGGUUGGAAUUAGUCUAUAAAUCUGCCAUCACUUUGCUUAUAGUUGCUUUGACGACGGAUUUGAUAAUCGCUAACUAAAACUAUCUUGGCAAAGGGCUUAUCAUGGUGCUUUGUCAAACUGGCUUAGGUUAAUUGUCAGUUGUAAAGUUUAGGGAGCUAGUGGGAAAUAUUUGCAGUGAGGGAGUUUUUGGAUGCUAAUUCUAAGCUUACUUUGUAGUUCUUAUGUUUUGCUAUCGGUAAUAUUCUGGCCAUGCUAGACAACAUCUUAAAGUAUUGGUACUAUUCGAUACAAGUAAUUUAUUUGGAGGUUAAGUGUGCAAUUACUUGUUUAUGGGUAGCUUUGGACCUCUGUGCGGUCGAUUGUAUGACAUGCAUGGUUGAUCUUUAGUUUCAUUUGAGGCAAUUCAGAGAUCUAAACGUAUUGUCUUCUGAUAUGUUCACCUUUCCUACAUGCAGAAACACAGGCGAGCCAGGGCACUUUCUCGAUUUUCGCAGUUCAUUAGUACAGGAAAUCAUUCUGAGGUAAUUCUUAUAUGCUCUAUACUGCAUCACAUCCUACCAUUUUCCUGCAUUUGCAUGACUUUAUUUUCUUUGCUGCUGUUGCCUUCCAGAUUGUUAGCACCAAAGUGUUUAUCCCACUCUUUUUCAAUUUGUUAUUUGGUGUACAAGAGGGGAAGGGUGAAAAUGUCAGAAGUGCAUGUAUGGAGGCUAUUGCAUCAAUUGCUGGUUGCAUGACCUGGAAACAGUACUAUGAACUAUUAAUGAACUGCUUUCGAGAAAUGACUAAACGAGAGAAGCAGAAGGUCAUAUUGCGAUUAAUAUGCUGUAUUCUGGACCACUUUCACUUCUCUGAAACUCCUGCAGAGGGUGUCCUUCGUGCCGAAGCUUUUGAGGGAAUAUCUUCUAGAGAAUUGAGGAGAUGCACACAGCCAGCUAAAUUUUCUGAUAUACAGACGUGUAUUCAGAAGACAAUGCUUCCCAAGAUACAAGAAUUGCUAUCUGAUUCUGAUAAUGUGAAUGUGAACAUCAGUCUAGUUGCCCUUAAGUUACUCAAAUUACUUCCUGGUGAAAUUAUGAAUUUGCAACUUCCAAAUAUUGUUCAUCGCAUCUCCAACUUCCUUAAGCAUCGCUUGGAGAGUGUUCGAGAUGAGGCUAGAUUGGCUUUGGCUGCUUGUUUAAAGGAGCUAGGGUUGGAGCACCUACAAUUCAUGGUCAAAGUCUUGAGGGGCACCCUCAAAAGGGGAUCUGAAUUGCACACACUUGGUUAUACCUGAAUUUUAUAUUGUCAAAGUUUCUUAUCAAUCCCAUUAGGGGGAAGUUGGAUUCUUGUCUUGAAGAUCUUUUUUCGGUGAUAGAGAUUGAUAUACUUGGAGAUGUUUCUGAGCAGAAAGAGGUGGACAAAAUUGCUUCAAAAAUGAAGGAGACUCGGAAGCAGAAGUCAUUUGAAACCCUCAAAUUGGUUGCGCAAAACAUCACAUUUAGAACCCAUGCUGUGAAGCUCCUUUCUCUUGUUACAGCUCAUCUACAGAAGCAGCUAUCUCCAAAACAGAAAUCGAAAUUGGAGAAUAUGUUGAAUCACAUUGCUGAUGGAAUUCAGUCUAAUGCGUCUGUAGAUCAAACUGAACUGUUUAUAUUUGUAUAUCGCCUCAUUAAGGAUGGCAUAGAUGAUGUAAAUCAUGAACGCAAACACGUAUAUAUGUCAGAGGCAGGGAAAGGAGACUGUGAUUUGGUGGAUAGUCAAAUGAUUAAUUCAGACAGGUUAAUAAAUCUUGAGCCCAGAUAUUCUCAC
rnacentral:lncRNA from 1 species